CGCGGGGUAGAGCAGUUGGUAGCUCGUCGGGCUCAUAACCCGGAGGUCGUAGGUUCGAGUCCUGCCCCCGCUACCA
rnacentral:tRNA from 1 species